AGUGAACGCUGGCGGUAGGCCUAACACAUGCCAGUCGAACGGCAGCACAGUAAGAGCUUGCUCUUACGGGUGGCGAGUGGCGGACGGGUGAGGAAUACAUCGGAAUCUACUUUUUCGUGGGGGAUAACGUAGGUAAACUUACGCUAAUACCGCAUACGACCUACGGGUGAAAGCAGGGGAUCUUCGGACCUUGCGCGAUUGAAUGAGCCGAUGUCGGAUUAGCUAGUUGGCGGGGUAAAGGCCCACCAAGGCGACGAUCCGUAGCUGGUCUGAGAGGAUGAUCAGCCACACUGGAACUGAGACACGGUCCAGACUCCUACGGGAGGCAGCAGUGGGGAAUAUUGGACAAUGGGCGCAAGCCUGAUCCAGCCAUACCGCGUGGGUGAAGAAGGCCUUCGGGUUGUAAAGCCCUUUUGUUGGGAAAGAAAAGCAGCAGGUUAAUACCCCGCUGUUCUGACGGUACCCAGAGAAUAAGCACCGGCUAACUUCGUG
rnacentral:rRNA from 1 species